GAAGCUCUAGAGCAUGUAGGGCUCCUGCUCUCCACCUGACAGCUCCUUGUCCCUCCCUGGGCCUGUCAAAUCCUGCAGAACUACUCCUCCCUGCAUGCCAUCCUCACGGCUCUGCAGAGUGUCUCAAUUCAUCGCCUGAAGAAGACAUAGCAGAACGUUUCCAGGAAGAGCUUUCAAAACUUUAAAGAGCUGUGUGCAGAAGACAACCCCCAGGGCAGGAAACUGCUCAUCAAAGUAGCAUGGAAGGUGCAGGAGUGGCCAUCUAAUAAAUUUGCCAGCCUGGUGAUGGACCUCCAGAGAGCCUGGAAGAGGGUGCAGAAGAAGG